CCGCGGCGCUGGGACUGGCGCUAACCACCCGUUAGGCCGCUGUUACGAGACUUUGGAGGAAGAGGAGAUUCGGACACAGACACACACAGAGGGAGGACCAAGCGAGGACACAGGGAGAAGACGGCCUUCUACGAGCCGAGGAGAGAGAGACUUCAGAAGAAGCUGGCCCUGACAACACCUUGAUCUUGGCCUUCCAGCCUCCAGAACUGUAAGAAAAUCCAUUUCUGUUGUUUGCCCAGUCUGUGGUACUUCGUGAUGGCAGCCCCAGCAGACUCCCACACCUGCUCUCCCAGGCCUAGUAUAUAUUAGGCCCCCUGAUGCAGUGGAGGAGAUGUUGCAUGACCUCCAAACUGAAACCUUCCAGCUGCCAGCUGGGCUUCUUGGAUGCUCUUAGGACAUGCACCUCUGGGAACCCAGCCAUCAUGUUAUGAAGUUCAAGCUACAUGGACAGGCCAUGUGUGUGCUCUGUUCAACAGCCCCAGUUUUCUCCUCUCUGACACCAUGUGCUAAGAAGUUUACCGUCUUCGUGUCCCUGGACUCUCAGCUUCGUCUUCUUAGUGCAGCAAACCUACCAGGCCUCCACCUGAGUUUCCCUUCCUGGAGAUUGUCUCAAGAUAAAGAGCCGCAGCAACUGCAUGGUUCACAUCAUUUGUCUCCUA